GGCCUAGUUGAUCAAUUGGUAUCUAAAAAAGUGGUUCAAAGACUAUAUCCUGAAGGAAGAUAGUUACUUAAUUGGUUUCAUUCGCUGAUUUGGCCAACUUAGUUGGUGUCUAAAGAAAACAACAUGGGGACCUCCACCAACCUUACACAUACCUGACCAGUUGGUUGGUUAGGUUCACACCUGGAGUGCUUGACGGUGCACCUGAAA
rnacentral:lncRNA from 1 species